CUAGAACGGAAAAAUGGAUCUCCGAACAUUUUCUCAUCACCACGAUGUUCAGUGCUGUGAAAAACGUCGCCAGGAUCGCGAACACGUAACCCAUCACGUCGUAAGGAAUUUCUCUUUACCUCGAAAAUGAACGGUGGCCUCGACACCAAAACGACUCCAGCGAGCAGAGCACAAAUCACAACGACCCUCAAAAAUCCACAAGGCUCUUUAAGAAUAAGGAAAGACAUGACGAUCACUAUGACUGGAGAACUGAAGAUAAUGGUCGUUGCGUCACCGAGAGGUAGCUUCCGGAAGCUGUAGUACAAAAGCGCCAGAGUUGCGCCUCCUACGACCCCCUUAAAUCAAAAAGGAACCUGAUUAAUCACAAAUUCAGCGAAAUUCGUUCAAUCAAACGUUCCAAAGUUUAUGGGGUUUUCUUUCUUUGCUCACCUGCAGAUGGAGAAGCAUCCUGGAGCCUUUUGGUCCAAAGAGACUCUGGUUAGCUCUGCAUGCACAGAUAGUCAUGACGAACAUUUGAAGACACGCUCUGAUGCCGAGCAAAACCAUGGGAUCGACAUUCCUUAUGGCUUUUACGAGGCCCGAGCUGACGGUGAAGAAAGCACCUGAUAUGAAGGCGAGGAAAAUCCCGAACCACUUGGUACCAUCGCGAUAGGAUUCUACGUUAUUCUCAAAUUGUUCGGUGUACUGGCAUGAAAUCGGUCAAUUUUGCUCGAGGAAGUGCGAGAUUAAAUUUACGGGAGUGUUGUAAGAAAGACAUUCACCGGCCUACUGGACCUCCCGAUACAUCUGGUCAACAAAACGAUCGAACUCG